UUCGUAGGUGGCGAGCGUUGUCCGGAUUUACUGGGCGUAAAGAGCGCGCAGGCGGUCGUGCAAGUCGCGUGUGAAAGCCCCCGGCUCAACUGGGGAGGGUCACGCGAUACUGUUCGACUCGAAGGCAGGAGAGGGAAGUGGAAUUCCCGGUGUAGUGGUGAAAUGCGUAGAUAUCGGGAGGAACACCAGUGGCGAAGGCGACUUCCUGGCCUGUUCUUGACGCUGAGGCGCGAAAGCUAGGGUAGCAAACGGG
rnacentral:rRNA from 1 species